rnacentral:lncRNA from 1 species
UUUUUUUCUUUUCUCAUUGAUUUUCUAUCCUUGGCACAUAGGGCCCUUUUGGGCUAUCCCACCAACCCACCAAGGGCUGCUGCGCCACCCCGAGGGCCUAUGGGCUUCCUCGGGUGGGUUGGCCCCUCCCGGUGAACAUCCGGAACCCAUUCGUCACUCCCGGUACAUUACCGGUAAUGCCCGAAUACCUUCCGGUAAUCAAAUGAGGUUAUCCUAUAUAUCAAUCUUCAUCUCUGGACCAUUCCAGAAACCCUUGUGACGUCCGUGAUCUCUUCCGGGACUCCAAACAAUAUUCGGUAACCA